rnacentral:lncRNA from 1 species
CCCCGAAUAACCAAAAGUAAGGAAGACUGUGAACCUACAGUUUGGAGGAUGCAAAUGCAAUGGUAGCCUCGAUGAAAUCAGCUAUCUAUAGCCUAUUCUGAGCCUGAAAUGGGUGGAAAAGAGGGUGGUGACAUUAUAUAAUCCCAGUGAGUAAACAAAUACCAUCUAAAAUAUCUAAAGCCGAGUAAAUGGAGACAGAUAAAAUAGUUUAACAUACUGUAAUUCAUCACCUUUCAACUUGUUUUAAUCAAACAAAAUCAAUUCAUAUAAAUCGAGUAAUCAACAUGGCUUAUGAAUUUCUUAAAACUUUGGCUCGUGCCAAAAUCACUCUUAUACUCAGUUAUCAGGGAUACCUUGAUCGAGGGCUAUCCCAACCGAAUCUGCCAAGGCUGUUAAAAAGUUACGUACGCAUAAAUCAUAUUUUUAUUUUGAAAACAUAGUCGUUCCUUGGCGUUGGCUGAGUUCACCCUCACGUGGUGGUUUGGCGUGAAGUGAACUCUAAAGUGUUAACCUCAGGAGUUAUCCAUCCGCGCCUCUCAUACUGAGGUAUGAAUAUAAUAGGGUUAUCGUGCCCCUCUAAUAGGCUGGUCCACGGAACCCGUCCACUGCAGUCGACUAAUUUAUAACCCACCAUACAAUAAAAUUUGUAAUAGCAUGACAUGGCAAUUAUUUUAUUUUAUAGCCUCUCAAGGCAAAUUAACAGUUCAUACAUUUUCAAUACAAAUACUAAUUCAGCCAUUCAUGCAAAUAUUAUUAUAAGCCAUUCAAUUCAAACCAUGAUUUAUAACACAAUAAUUAGUCUCUAAUUACUCCAUUUUCAAAACCAUCAUUCAACUUCAAAACAAUUUUAUAAAAUCAUUUCAUUUAAACACAUUUUGUUUAUGAAACCUAAAGAUUUACCAUUUAAACUCAUUUUUCAUAAAAUCACAAAAUCGGAUAAAAACCACUUAGAUAAUUAAGACGAUAGUAAGGUUACUCACUUUUUCAAGAGUCGAAUUUCGAGUACUCUGAUUCUUGAUCCUUGGGUACUAUCUCUUUACUUUUGCCAGAAUGCUCACCACCUAGACAUAAUGCACAAUAAGCCAUUUACUACAUUUGUGCUAAAUUGUUAUAAAACCAAUUCAAGCUCUAUACUGAUGCAUGAAAUUUUCUAAAUACAGUGUUCAAUAUAAAUCAAUUAUGUACCUAAAUAAAACGGUAUUAACCUAAUUCGAUCUAUCACCUGAUUAAUUGGCCAAUACGUCCAAUUCAACUCCAAUUAACUCCAUUUUUCUUCCAAUUCUCCAAACCAUCAAACAGAAGUUAAAUAACUUGAAAUAUGGCAAAAUCAUCCUCACAUUUUCUCUUGGAAAAUUCGGCCAUGGUGGGUGCAUCAACACUAUAAUUUUUCCUACUUGAUUCUUACACCAUAAAUCACUAAUUCUUAACCAAAUCACUUAAAAAUAAAUCAAAAUCAUCAUUGAUAUUCCACAUGGAGAAUUCGGCCAAUGAUGGGUGAUGGAAGAACAUGAAUUUUUCUUGCUUGAUUUUCAUGCUACACAUCACCAAUCAACUAAAAACACUAAAAUACAUUAAAAUCUAACCAAACCAAGAAUCAAAACCUCUCUUUAAGUGUUCAUCCAUCAAGAUACCCAUCAUGAAAUCAUGUGAUUCAACCAUGGAAAAUGCAAAAGAAUGUAUGGGAAAGGUAGAUCACAAGCUAGAAUUGAAAAAUCUUACCUUUUGUCACUUGUUUCCUUGAAUUUUCACACUUUUCCCUUGAAUUUUUCCACCUAGGGUUUUUGUUCGGCUUUGAAUGUGUACAUGUAAACUAGAUGUAUCUUGCUAAGAAUCAUUUGGCAAACUAUUUAUGUAUAUUCCGAUUAAUGAAUACCAUUAUGAGUAUAUACUUGGAUUUUAUGAAUUAAUUUCAAUGAAGUUAUUAUUUGAACAUUAUGAUUUAUAGAUCUUAAAAAGGGAGUAUGGAUGAUACAUGGACUAAUGUACAGGUUCAUACAGGAAGGCUUGCUAGGGCCUAGUGGGCUAUGCCUAUUAGGUCUUUGCGCCAAUCAUGGCCCAAAAAUUUAGGCUGUGACAUUUCUCUUGUCUCUUUGGUCGGUCCUUUAGCUUUAAUGGAGUCAACAUAUUUUUUGCUCCAUCCUUGAUGAAGGAAUAAGUAUUCUUGUAUCCAUCAUGGUGAGCUCAACAAUCAUAUAGCCAUUGGCGUCCCAACAACAGGUAGCAUGCAUCCAUCGGGAUAACAUCACACUAGACUUCAUCUUCAUACUUAUUUCCAAUAGAGAAUUGAACACAACAACGCUUUGUUACCUUAACUUCAUUUCCUUUUCUCAGCCAUUGUAGCUUGUAAGGAAGAGGAUGUACUUUAGUUGGAAGUUUCAACUUUUGCACCAUGUAGUUGGUAACAAAAAUUCUCACAACUUCCACUAUCAAUAAUGACAUUACAAACCUUCCCUUGGGAUGUGCACCUUGUAUAAAAUAUGUUGUGACAAAGCCAACUUUCAUCUUCAAUCAUCAUAGUAGUGUUGAGGUUACGACGACCAACAAAAGCUUCUCCAUGGUCAGCAGAAACUUCUUCUAUCUCUUCGUUGUUGACUAUUUCUAGCUCAUCAUCUACUUCUUGUAGGCUAGGUUUUUCCAUAACUUCUUUUUCAACUAAAGAGAUAAUUCUUCGAUUUGGACAAUCAUAACCAAUAUGGCUAAAUCUUGGGCAUAUUGAAACAUUUUUUGUUGACAUUAGAAGCACAAGUAGAAGUAGUCUCUUUAUUGUUUUGAGUUUUGGAAGAGUUUACCUUUGGAGGUGGAAUGGUUGUUGGACUAUGUCUUCCACGGUUUGAGGUGGAAUCUUUCUAUCUAGAUGAACUCAUUUAGCUUUUCCGUAAUUGUUGUUUCUCAACCUUUAAUUCUAAUCUGAUAACAUCAUUUAAGUUCCAAUAUGGUUGUAGUUGAACAACAUCAGCAAUUUCAACAUUGAGACCCCCAAGAUAACAAGCUACAAUUUGUUCUUCAGGUUCAUGGACAUCACACUUCAUGUGAAGUUGUUCGAACUCCAUUGUAUAUUCUUUCACUAACAUUGUUUUUUGCCUCAUGUUAUGAAAUUUGAUAAAACUUUCUUGUCGAUAAUGCCCAAGAAGGAACUUACGCUUAAGUUCUCGAUGCAUCUUAUCCCAUGUUCUGAUCUUGUUGCGGCCUUAUCUUUCUCAUGGUCGUUUAAGAUUUUCCCACCAAAUAGAAGCAUGCUUGUUCAAUUUAAUUGCCACAAGCUUCACACGUUUUUCAUCAGGAAUAUCUUUGAGCUUGAAAACUCUUGCCACUAUGUAGAGUUAGUCAAGAAAGUCAUCAAGGUGAAGUCUUCCUUCAAACUCAAGAAUGUCAACUUUGAUUCCCAAAUCUUUGUUAGUAGCAAUUCUCAAGCGACAAAUAGGUACUUCUUCAUCAAAUGAUGAAUUUUGAUGAAACAAGUUGGUGCCAUUCUCUUCAUCACUAAAGCUGCUAUUAUUGAUUUGAGCAUCAAGUCUUGCGAGUUGCUCUUGUAAUUCUUGAAUUUGCUGACAUAGUUCUGCAAUCUCAAUCUCAUGAUCAUCUUUUUGACGAUUUUGAUGUCUUGGCAGCAUUUUACUGUAUGGUGAUGACGAUGUGGUGAUGUAGAAAAAAAGAUGACGAUAUAAAUAUAAAGCAAUAAAUUAAAUUACCCGAACAGGGAGUAUCAAAAAUCGAUAGCGAACCUGAAUUAUGCAGUGAACAAUGAUCCUCCUGCUCUAAUUCCAAACUAAAAUCGCGGCAUUGUAAAGACACUUGGGCAUUGUGAAAGACACUAAUCGUGGCGAGGUUGGAAACCUCAUUAAGGUGAAUCACCAAUCUUGGCAAGGUUGAAAGCCCCACUAAGGUGAAAAAUAGCCAAAAUUCCACUUUGGUUGGAUAGGCCAAAGAUACUAAAAACCUUUUACUCUUUAAAAAGAGCCUAAAGAAAUAAGCACUCCUACUUAAGAAAAUAUUCUUUAUUAAUUCUCAACUUGAAUGUGAAUAAUAAGUAAGCCUAAGGGUCCUAUUUAUAGUAUUAUAGGCCCAUAUCCUAGUAAAACUCUACUUCUAGUUGCCUAAUACAAUUAGAAUAAUUAACAAGAGAUUUAAAUAAAAUAGGUGUUCUAGUCCUAAAAGAACAUGAAUAGCUUAAAGUCCUAAUACAAGUAAAAGAAGAAUUUUAUUAUACCUAUAAUUCCUAAAUAAUUAUAAUCUAAUAAUAUACUCCUGUAUCACCCAGAUUCGUAAAAACUGAUAAAAAAAAUCCAUAGAAACCAAAGACUCAAUAUCUCACAUCCAUGUCAAGGAAUGACAAACUCAUUGAAUAAAAAAAUAUAAAGUAUAUUGACAAUGCCAAUAGCAAAAUGAUCAAAGAGAAUGUGUCUUUAAGAAAUAAGCUAAGAAAUGCGUCUUUAGCUUAGAGGAUCGAACAGAAAAUCUUUAAUCAAGCUUGGAAAAUUUUUUGUUUUUGAACAUAUUACUUGAGAUUUCACCUUAGAAAACAUUGCAUUUUUAUAUGCUAAAUUGAUUUGCUAAAAUUUAUUAGAGAGAAUAGUCAAAAUGGACUUGUUUGGACUUGAUUUUUACAUUUUCGAGCAGAAGUAUAAACACUUGAAGAACAUGCAUCGACACUUGCUAUCCAGAAAACUUUUAAAAGGAGUUUGGAUGAACAAAGUAUUGAGACAUGUUGAACAAGUAUCGAUACUUGACACCUAGGAACAAAAGUAUCGAUACUUUACGUCGUUUUCAAAAAAUAAAAGGGGUAAAAUAGUUUUUUUUCACUCAAAACUUACCUAAAUAAGUCUCCUAAAGCCUAUUCAACCUUAGCCCACCACCCUUAACCAUUUUGAGCAACUUUCAACCUUUUCUAAGCUCUUUUGCUUUUGGAAACUUCACUUUUAAAGAUUUAAGCUUAGUUAUGGUUGGUUUCAAAUUUUAGAAAACACUAAGGUAAAGAUUCUAGCUUUUAAACCCUUUAAGCUUGGUUUCAAACUUCUGAAUUUUUAUUUUUCACAAUAAAUUUACGUUUCUCUCUCUAAUAGUUUUCAACCCAAGUUGGUUUUCCUAGUCCACAAACUCACAAGGUAAAAAAUAUGGUGGUUUAGAGACUACAAAUCAUAUAUGAUGCUUGAAUAGUGGAUUAACUAGUAUAAAUGUUAAAUUAGGCUAGAUAUGGUUAGUUUUAAUGUUAAUCUAACCUUUGAAUUCGAGAUUCAUAAUUUAAGUUUCGGUUAAAAUGUGUUGUUACAGUUAUAAGAUCAUUGAAGCUCCAUGGAAUUAGCUAGAGUGAAGAUUGAUUAUUUGAUUGCAUGCAUUCGACAACUCGAUCGAGGUGGGUAGACGCGAUGCUUUCAAAUUUUUUGCUACGUAUAAAAACUAAGAUAUAUUGAGUUAUGGUUUUAUAUGAUUGUCAUGCUAUCUAUAUGAAUGAAAUAAUCAAGCUUUGAAAUAAAUGAUUUUCAAGAUAGUUUCAAAAGUAUGUAUGAUAUGUAAAUAUGAGUACUAUAUAUUACUUUUGAACAAGGGGGGACAAGCCUUUUCAAAUGUUUUCAUUCAAAGAAAUCCUAGAUAAGAUGAAUAAGUAGAGCCAAUGCACGACUAGGUCAUUGUCUAGGCGGAUGGAUGUAUGCCCACUCAGUAUUAAUGUCACGACCCAAAUUUCGGGCCAUGACUGGAGUAUAGGCCCAAUGGACAUAGUCCACUAAGCUCAAGCAAGCCUAUUAAUCUGAUGUAUUCAUCAUUCCAUCAUAAACUGCUAAGUCACAUUUCAUAACUUAGAGUCAAAAUAAUAUUAAACAUUUUCCACCUCAUACUGGCAUACCAAACAAGUGUAUAUACUUGUCUACAACAUGUAUCUUAAUAAUUUACAUUAGGUUUGUCUAUACACAACAAAAGAAUACUCGACUUCCAGCGGAGGGACUCGGACGAAUGUACAGCUACUGAAUGUCGAGACACCUACCAAAAGAUGGAUACAAGUCUACGAUGACACCUAGUUCUAGUUACCGCCUACCUCGUGAUCUGAAAACGUGAAGUUGAAAACGAUGAGUAUAAACCCAGUGAGUGAACAAGAAAGGGAACAAGCAUACCAUAAGGAAUGUUUAACGAAAUCAUGAUGUAUUCUUUUCAAAACAAUGCAAUUUGUUUUUGUUCUUAUUAAAACCCCACAUGAGUGAAUCACUUUAUGAAAGGAUUUGGAUAGUCAAAACUUUAAUAGCAUUCAUGCGAAUCAGGUCAAAUAAACGGCGGGUCCUCACUGCAGCGAGAAUGAAUUUUUACUGCAGUGACACUUGAUUUAAAUUAUCAACUAAUCGAGGGUUUCUUGACUGGCCGAGAGUUUCUCACCAAACCUCCUCAUAUUAAGCUUAAUUCAUUUAUUCCUUAAUGUUGGAAAUCCAUGCUCAAAUAUGGUAUCAAAAAAGUGGAAAAUAGGGCAACAAUUGAUCAAAAUGUGAGACAAAACAGAAAGUUUUUCACUGUAGCGAGAAUCAGAAUAUCAAGAAAAAAGUUUCCUUUUUCCCUUAAUCAAAGUCAUCCUGUUAAAAUAACAAAAGCAACAUGUAAUACAUACAAACUCCCAAAUUUCCACAAUUCAAAUGCUCACAUUUUUGCAUUACAACCAUAUACCAUAUAUGUAUAUAUAGAUAUAUAUAUAUAUAUAUAUAUAUAUAUAUCANNNNNNNNNNNNNNNNNNNNNNNNNNNNNNNNNNNNNNNNNNNNNNNNNNNCAUAUAUGUAUAUAUAUAUAUAUAUAUAUAUAUAUAUAUAUAUCAAUCAUCAUGUACAUCCUCCCAUCAUCAUCAUCUCAUAUGCAACGGCUUAUGCACACUCCCACUUGCACAUAGCUGGGUCAGCAACGGCUUAUGUGCACUCCCACUCGCACAUAGCCAGGUUAGCAACGACUUAUGUGCACUCCUGCUCGCACAUAGCCGGGUCAAUAUCAUUACACAACAUUAUUCGUAUAUAUAUCAACAUAGUGUAGUAGUUCAACCAUCCAUAACAACCACAUAUCACAUCAUAAAAUCAAUUUAUCAAAGGCUUGUUCCCAAAGCACUCAUUUUUAAAGAAACUUGAAUAAAAUCAUUCAAGUACAUAGUGCAAAUAGUUUAUAUUCCCAAAACAAAUUUUGAAAUGCAAGUCUACUCACCGGUAUAUUGUUGAGCCUUUAGCUAACUCUAAUCCCCCUAAUGAUCCAAUUAGGGUAAUAGGGCUUCGUUAGAACCUAGAAUCACAUUAGCAUCAGCAUUAUGUUAAUUCACACACUAUAAACCAUAAAAGCUAUCUCUUAACUAGCUUUCAAUUGCCAUUUUAAAUGGCUAUCUAUGUUCACUACCUAAUCACAUUAGAGUCAAUACACAAUCUCAACAAUAAACGCACAAAUCAAUCACUAAACAUUAUCAACACUUAAAAGUCAAUUCUAAUUUACUACUCACCUUGAUAGCUUUGUAACUUUGAUAUUCUUUCUAACAAUUCCCAAGCUUAUUAUACGGCUUUCUUUCUCUUUCUCUCUCUAAACACUUAACUAGUGAGAGAAAGUAUGGAAGUAGGAUUUUUCAAGGACUUUAAAGUGAGAAAGUGAAAGAAUAUAAGGGUUAUAGUCAAAAGGGCACAAAGGUAUGAAAACUAGAGUUAGAGAGAGAAAGUUAUGAAAGCUUCACAUCAAGCUUCCAUGGAGAAUGGAAGCAAUGUGAGAUGGGAAGAGGAGAAGAAGAAGAAGCUACUGGAAGGAGAAGAUAUUUAUAGCCCAAGCUUAUCCACUCCCAUUAAAUUACCAAAAUGCCCCUUCACAAUAUUAGCUUAUUCUCCUCCAAUCUUUUAUGCAAUCUUUUUGCUCUUUCGCACUAAGACAAGGUCCAUAAUGGUCUAGAAAUGCUCGGGUUCAUGAAAACUUAAAAAUUCUAACCCGAUGUGAAAAAUGACCAUUUUGCCCCUAUUGUGAAAAUCAUCAAAAUUUUUGUUUCCUUGUCAUUUUACCCAUAUUUUCUUCAUUCAUUUAUACCUUAAGCCUACCUAGGCCAUAAUAUUGUUUAAAAUCUUACUUUUAUGGGCUCACUAAGGAAAUGAUGAAAUUACCCUUGAUCAGGGAUAUCGCGUAUACUUUUAUCUAUGAGUCUAUAAAGGUCAAGGUCUCACAAUUAAUGUGAAUGUGGAUGGUUAGUAACCUACUUCUUGUGAUGUAAAUAUUGAUGGAUGUAUGCCCACUUAUAAUGAUUUGUAUAUGGAUGGUUAGUAGCCCAUUUAAUGUGAAAGAGUGUGGAUGGAUUAUAGCUUACCUCCUAGAUUAUGUAAGGUUGGAUGUAUAGAUAGCCACCAUUAAAGAAAUGCAAGGGUGGAUGGUUAAUUGCCCACCAAUGAAACGAUGAAUAAUUAUGAUGUGAGAGUAAGUCUAAUAUUAUGGUGUUUACCAAUUACAAAUGAGUAUAGUGAAUGAAUACGUUGAUAUGUAACUAUUAUGUGUUAUAAUGUGUAUUUGUAUAUGAGCAUGAUGUUGGGAUGAGCCUUGCAGCCAAUUGGGCAAGGUUAAGGCUUGAUUCCAAUCAUGCAACAGUAUCAUGAUGUUGAAUGAUUAGAGGUUUUCCUUCAUCAAUAAGACAUCAAUUAUAAUGAGUUAUAAGUCUAAUUGGAUGAAGUCCAUGAGAUUAAUAUGCCUUGCAAGGAAACUGUAAUGGGUUGCAGUUAUGAGAUUUCUAUGCAUUAAAGCAUAAACUCAAAAUGUUCCUAGUCAAUGAAUCAUUGAGACUGGACAUCAAUGAUGCUUAGAGACUGGUAUAUUCUAUGUUCUUUACUUUGGAAGCAAGCAAUCGAUCUCAUAAAUUGAAGUAUAGAGAUACUUGGAACUAGAAUGUAGGUGCUUGCUUAGAAGAGCAAGUUCAUUGAACAUGACCCGCCAUGAGAAGUGCAUUUGGUAAUACACUCUAGUGUCUAUGCAACACUUCUCAUGUGUCAGUUAUGUAAAUACUCCCUAGACUUGAGACACCAGGUUGUCUUAUGUGUGGAGUGCUAUGCUUUGAUUUCAUCCCUACGGGUGCCUAACCAAGGACGCCAAAACAGGAUGCUUUUGGGUAUAGUAUGAAGCAUGUGAAGGCAAAUAAGUGGUCAAGAUAGGAAUCAGUUCUUGGUUAACAUUAGCUUAUUGAAGUCCUUGGCCAAGGUGACAUGGAGAUUAUGAAAAAGGUUUCAUAACUCUCUAUAAAGCUAAUGCUAUAAUUGCAGGAACAAAUAUGGAGGUCCAUAAAAGUAGACACUGUACCAAGCUCUUAUCGUCUCUGGGAUAUAUGAUGUCACGAACCAGUACUCCCUUCGAGCUCGUGACAACCGUCGUAAUGUCUCGAUAGACAUUCAUUACCCGAAAUGUCAACUGAAACCUCACAAGGCUUUUACAUCAAUUUUACGUCUCCCUUGUGAGCAACAGUUAGUAAAUAUCAUGUUUUAAGGGAAUAUAAACUAUUUUUAAAUCAAAAACAAACAAAAGUAAUUUCUGCCACACAGGGGUAUUUUGGUCAUUUUUACUCAAAAAUUUUGAAACUUGGUGAAACUACAGCAUACAAUCGAAAAAUAUACAUUUCUCAUCUAAAAAUAAUUUUAGUAAUCUAAAUCAUCCAUUUAAAAUGAAAUUUUGGCUAAUCAAACUAAAUAAAAUAUUCCAUUUUCUUAUAAAACAAUAUUUAUAGAAUCUGCAUAAACAAUUUUUGUAGCGUAAGAGCAAAAUAAAUUCAUAAAUAUAAUAGCACACUAAACCAGGUAUACAAAAAUAUUCUACAAUGACAUGUGGGCUCCAAAAUAACCGAAACUAUACAAGAUUGUAGACCUUCGAUUUCUAAGGAUGCAAAUCCAAAAGCAACCCUCGACAAAAUCAGCUGUCUACAAACUGUCCUGAGCCUGAAAUGGAUAAAAAGAAGGGGUGAGUUUUUACAAACCCAAUGAGUAAGCAAAAUUCAUCUAUAACAUCUAAAACUGAGUAAAUGGAGACAAUUAAAUCAUCCCAUCAUAAUAUAGUUCAUAACAUUCAAAACUCAUUUCAAUUCCUAUAAAACAAUUACAUUUCAUCAAAAUAAUCAACAAGGCUUAUGAUUCUCUUAAAAACUUGGCUUGUGCCAAAACUCAUACGCAGUGACACCUUGGCCUAAGCAUCCAACCGAGUCCGUCAAGGAUGUUAAAAUGACAUAUACCCAUAAAACAUGUUUUUACUUUUAAAAUAUAGCCAUUCCUUGACGUUGGUUGAGUUUCAUCCUCACGUGGUGGUUCGGCAUGAAGUGAACUCUAAACUUACCUUAGAAGAUACCCUCCGCGCCUCUCAUACUAAGGUAAAAUAUAACGAGGUUUACCGUGCCCCUCUAAUAGGCUGAUCCACGAAAACCCGCCCACUGCAGUAAGCUAAAUACAUAACCCACCAAAUCAAUAAAAUUUCGGCAGCAUAACAUGGCUAAUAUAGUACUAUCCAACCUGUCAAUGUAAGACAAAACAAUUUAUAUAAUUCACAAAACCAUAAUUUCAGCCAUUCAUGCUACCACAAUUUCAUAAGCCAUCAAUUCAAAUCAUGUAUAUAUAUAUAAUACGAAUGUAUAGCCUCCACUUACUCUAUUUCGAAAAUCAACAUUUAGUUUCAGAAUAAUUUAUAAAUCUCAUUCAUUUAACCAACAUUUAAAAUGUAAAACAUAAUAAUUUGCAAAUUAAGUGACUUAUUCUUUAAAAUCUUAAAACAAGUAUAAACCACUUUAGAUAAUUAAGAUGAACAUCUGAUUACUCACAAUAGCAGGAGUUUGGAGUACUCCUAUUUUUGGUUCUCGGGCACAAUAUCUUUACCCUUAUUAGAGGGCUCACCACCUAUACAUAAUACAUGACACGUAAUUCAAUAUAUCUGUGCCAAACUGUUAUAAAACUAUUUCAAGCUCUAUAUGAAUGCAUGACAUUGAAUGAGAAUUGUUCGAAUAAUCACUUAAAGAUAGUGUUCUACGUGGGUUUAAUUAUGAUCGGACUGAAUUGGCAUUCGACCUAACUCACACUAUGCCUUGUUUAAUUAGCAAAAACAUCUAAUUCAACUCCAAAUAUCUUCAUUACACUUCAAAUAUUCCAAAUACACCAAAGUACCACAAUGAGCUUAAUUGUGACUUAAUUCACCAUAACCAAAAUUCAUUUCGAUUUUGAUAUCUGAUACCAUAAAUCAUCAAUUACGAGCUAAUUAACAUGAAAUACAACAAAAUCCAUCAUCGACAUGUCACCUAAUAAAUUUUUCCAAAGAGGGUUAUUGAAGAACAUGUGAUUUUCUUGCUUGUUUUUCCUUCCAAACAUCACAAAAUGACAAAAAACACUAGGAUAUUAUGAAAUCUAGCAAAAUUCAUCACCAAAACUUCUCUCUCUAGAUUUGGCCCGCAAAGGUUCCCUCCUGAAAACUUGAAUUUCAGCCAUGGAGAAUGAAAAAGAAUGCAUGGGAAAGGUAGAUCACAAGCUAAAAUUAAAAAAUCUUACCUUUACUUGCUUGAUUCCUUGAAAUCCAACAAAUUUUCUUGAAUUUUUCCUUCCUAGGGUUUGUUCUUCUCUUUUUCUCUUUGUUCCCUUGCUUGGUCGGCCAUAAGAGUGUGAAUUUGAAGGCUUUAAGUGAGUUUAUAUAGGCAAUUAAAAUAAUGUUAAAGCUUGACACUUGUCACCUUUUAAUUAGUUCAUGUUUAAAAACUUAACAAUUAAGCAUUUUCUCACCACCACAUAUAAUCUCUCACUUAAAAAAAUAAUGGGUGAAAUUCAAGGGUUUGACAAGUGUCAUGGUGGUGUAAAAUUCCAAAAUUUCCAAUUUCGCCCUCAUGGACACUUCAAAUGACCGUUUUAUCCCUAUGUUCGAAAAACUAUCAAAAUUGAAAUUUUUCACUUCUCAAAUUCAAAUAAUGCUCUAAUUAAUCAAAUUUAGUCAAAAUAUCAUCCAACAUUCUAAUUUUUCCCUUGAGUGGUAAAAUGACCAUUUUGCCCCUACGUUAUGAAAAUUCUCAAAUAAAUUCCAAAUCAGUGCUCGAAUUUCGAAUCAUCAUAUUAAGACAUACUAAGAUUCAAUAACUCUCAAAUACAUCGUAAAAUCUUUAUUUGGCCUAAUUCGAGGCUUUAAUCAACUUAAUUGUACCACUAGGUAUAAUAUCGACUUUUAACGAUUUUUCGAUACAUUCACUUAUGUAGAUAUGCUAUCAAGUACAUGAAUGACAUGACUAGUAUAUAAUAGAGUAGGGCUUGACAUAUGAUGAGGGAACGAAUUACACUGAUAGACUAUACACUGAAAGGUUGUCAAAGAACCCUUUGACUCUCCUAACAAUUGGGUGGCCAUGAUGCAUUGCUAGAUGCCAAUCUUGGUCUAUGGAAUUGAUUAUAAAUUAAUUGAUUGAAGCUUAUAUUAAUCAAUUAGGUCGUUAAUCAAUUCCAUUGCCAACAUGUUGGGAACCUAAUAGGUCACACACAAUUAUUGCAUUUGAAUUAAAUUGGGAGAGUGACGAUUUAAGUUAGACUUAAAUCACAUGCUAGGUAAUUAACUUCUAUAAACUUAAUUAAAAGAGUUUAAUUAAGUUUUUGGCAUAAUUAUAAAUAGUUAUAACUAUAAGGCCUUGAUUGCAAAUAUAAAGGAAAUUAAUUUAGAUUUUAAUUUUCAAGGACUUAAUUAAAAGAGUUUAACUAAGUAAUAGGCCCAAUAAUAUAAUGUGUUAUAAUAUUGAGGGCUUAAUUGCAAAAUUGAAGUUAUUUUAACCUAACUAUAUAAGUCAACUUUUAACUAUUUUUCAUGAUGAGAGUUUUUUCACAAUUGAAAAAAAACGUAGUUUUUGUCAGAAAAAGAAAAACGUUUUCUUUCUUUGCCACUACUCCCUUUGUGUGAAAGAGAAAAUUGCUUUUGAAGCAAUUUUCAAGAAAGGUUCGGCUAAGAUUAUGAAAAAGAAGAAAAAGGCAAUUGUUGUCCUCUUUGCUAGCACAAAGUAUAGUUAAAAACUCCUUCAUUUGUUGAAGGUUCAAGUGCAAUCGUGUGUACUACCAUUGGAGGCCAAGCACUUGAUUAGCUAGGGUUUUUGCUCCUUGUAGUGCUCGUGGGAUUGCUUCGAAAAGUGCCAUCGUAAUUACGAAAUUACAUGGCAAGGUAACUUUCUAAACAAUAAUUUAUUUUGUGCUUUUAUGUGUUAAAUAUCAUCAAGGUGAUCCAUGGGUGGAGGCAUGGUUUGUUGUUUAGUUAUAAAAUUUUUAAUUUUCUUUUUGCUGCGUGUUUUGAGCAUGCCAUCCAUAGCCAAACCCAUCAGUGGUAUAAGAGCCUUCCUUGGUUUGAUUUUAACACAUGUUUAUGUCUAUUGUUGUUAAUACCUUGUUGAAAAGGAAUAUGUGGUGUUCGGGUUUUCUUCUACAAAAAUUAGUAAGUUUUAAAAUUUUAUAAUUUGUUCUAGUUGUUUUGAUUUCUAGAUAGAUUCUAAUUGUAAAUUUUAAAAUUUAUUUGUCAUAAUAUUAAUCUCAUUUUAAUGUCAAAAUAUUGUAGAUUAACAAGUUCAUGAGAUACACAAAUUAAUUUAGCAAAUAUAGAUUCGAUCUCAUAACAUUAUGGUGUGAUUUAAAUGGUAUAAUUCGAUUCUGUCCAGCCAUGGUAUUGGUCCAUUUUCAGCCAUAAAAGUGAGGCUUAAGUGCUUCAUAAAAUGCAGGAAAAUUAAGAGAUCAAUACACAUUGGAAAUGUUCCAAGCUGGGUGAUUAUGUGUGGCUAAUGGUGGAGGUAAAGUUACCAAAAUGUGGCUAAAACAGUCGCUGUUUGCAACAGAGACAGUCAUAGUUUUGUUUGGCUUGAUUUAUAGUGGCACGUGGGCCCACGAACGACUAAAAGUAUCAAAAGCGGUAAACCUAGAGUUUUUGAGGAUGCAAAACCAACUGUAGCCCUCAACAAAGUGAGCUAUCUACCGACUAUCUUGAGCCUAAAAUGGGUAGAAAUGAGGGUGGUGAGAUUAUAUAAUCCUAGUGAGUAAACAAAUACCAUCUAAAAUAUCUAAAGUUGAGUAAAUGGAGACAGAUUAAAAUAGAUCAUCAUACUAUAAUUUAUCACCUUUCAACUCAUUUCAACCAAAUAAAAUCAAUUCAUAUAAAUCGAGUAAUCAACAUGGAUUAUGAAUUUCUUAAAACUCUGGCUCGUGGCAAAAUCAUUCUCAUACUCAGUUAUCAGGGAUACCUUGGUCGAGGGCUAUCCCAACCGAGUCCGCCAAGGCUAUUAAAAAGUUAUGUAUGCAUAAAUCAUGUUUUUAUUUUAAAAACAUAGCUGUUCCUUAGCAUUGGCUGAGUUCACCCUCACGUGGUGGUUUAGCAUGAAGUGAACUCUAAAGUGCUAACCUCAGGAGUUAUCCAUUCGCGCCUCUCAUACUGAGGUAUGAAUAUAAUAGGGUUAUCGGGCCCCCUCUAAUAGGCUGAUCCACGGAACCCAUCCACUGAAACGACUAAUCAAUAACCCACAAAUUCAAUAAAAUUUAACAGCAUGACAUGGCAAUUUUAUCAUUAUUCAGCCUAUCAAGGCAGACAGCAGUUUAUACAUUUUCAACACAAAUACUAAUUUAGCCAUUCAUGCCAAUAUUGCCAUAAGCCAAUCAAUUAGAACCAUAAAUUCACAAUACAUCAAAUGGUCUCCAAUUACUCUAUUUUCAAAGCCAUCAUUCAAUUUCAAGAUAAUUUAUAAAAUCAUUUCAUUUAAACACAUUUUGUUUAUAAAACAUAAAGAUUUACUAUUUAAACUCAUUUUCCAUAAAAUCACAAAAUCAGAUAAAAACCACUUUAGAUAAUUAAGAUGAUAGUAAGGUUACUGACUAUUUCGAGAGUCGAAUUUCGAGUACUUCGAUUCUUGAUCCUCGGGUACUAUCUCUUUACUUUUGCCAGAAUGCUCACCACCUAGACAUAAUGCACAAUAAGCCAUUUACUACAUUGUGCUAAAUUGUUAUAAAACCAAUUCAGGCUUUAUACUAAUGUAUGAAAUGGGAUACAAAUUGUUUGGAUUAUUGUCUAAACACGGUGUUCUACACAAAUUCAAUUGUAUACCUAAAUUAAAUAGUAUUGGCCUAAUUCGAUCUAUCACUCGAUUAAUUGGCCAAUACGUCCAAUUCAACUCCAAAUAAUUUCAUUUUUCUCCCGAUACUCCAAAUCAUCAAACACAAAUUAAAUAACUUGAAAUAUGGCAAAAUCAUCUUCACAUUUGCUCUUGGAUAAUUCAGCCAUGCUGGGUGCAUCAACACUAUAAUUUUUCCUACUUGAUUCUCACACCAUAAAUCAUUAAUUCCUAACCAAAUCACUUGAAAAAAAAAUCAAAAUCAUCAUCAAUAUUCUACAUGGAGAAUUCGGCCAAUGAUGGGUGAUGGGAGAACAUGAAUUUUUCUUGCUUGAUUUUCAUGCUACACAUCACCAAUCAACUAAAAACACUAAAAUACAUUGAAAUCUAACCAAAUUAAGCAUUAAAACCUUUCUCCUAGGGUUUGAUCAGCACACUAUCCUUCAUGAUAUAUUGUGAUUCAACCAUGGAAAAUGCAAAACAAUGCAUGGGAAAGGUAGAUCACAAGUCAAAAUCAAGAAAUUUUACCUUAGAUUGCUUGAUUACUUGAAAUCCACCAAUUUUCUCUUGAAUUUUCACCCUAGGGUUCUUGUUCUUCCUUUUUCUUCCUUUGUUCUUACUUUGGC